CUGAUGAGGACAUAAAGGUAACAGUAAUCCCUUCACAUGAACUUUUUCGAUCAUACAUUGAACAUUCAUUAGUUGAGUGGAAUCUCUGGUAAUGCUACCCAAUUUUUAGAUGAUUUGCGAUUAGCUUUUUCAAGGACAAGACAAGAAACUUGUGUACUUCAUAUCUUGCAGAUGCAAUUUUCUCUAGUAAUUUGUGGAAUAAAAGUAGUAAUUAUUUUUGGAAAAUUUUGUCUCCAUACAGAAAGAUGUAUUUGAUAAUGUUUUUAAUUAUUUGAUUAUGAAUUGGUCCCUUAGCUUAGUGGUAAAGGUGAGGCUUGCUAG
rnacentral:misc_RNA from 1 species